AGAACUAUUAAAACCCCACCCCACCACAAAACACUCCUAUACCACCCCCUCAGCAUUACACCCUGUAUGUGUCGGCAAGUAAGAACCAGUAGAUAUUUUCUGUCAUUUUCUCGAGAAAAUAUAUAUAUACACACACACAUAUAUUUUAGCCUGUAAAAUUAAGUCUUCAUUCAUUGUUCGAUACGUGAAGAUGAUGAAGGGAGGAUCGAACAUGUUAAUGGACGGUAGUAGAAUGAGCAGUAGUGAUAGCUUGACGACGACAAUUGCUACGCCGACGUUUUCGUCAUAUUCUUCUGGUAGUAAUACGUUAAGAGAUCAUGAAGAGGAGUGGGAGAUGAGGCCAGGAGGAAUGCUGGUACAGAAACGUAACGAAAAGUUCAGCAGUGUUCCUUUAACUACUUUCCGUCUCCGAAUUGCUUACGGCGCUCUCCGCUACGAGAUCUCCGUGAAUUCUCAAGCAACUUUUGGAGAGUUGAAGAAGCUCCUGAUGGUGGAGACAGGGUUGCAGCCUGAUGAACAGAGGCUGAUCUACAAGGGAAAAGAGAGAGAAAACGGACAGUACUUGGACAUUUGUGGAGUCAAAGAUCGAUCAAAAGUCAUAUUAAUACAGGACCCAGCAAGCAUAGAGAAGAGAUACAAUGAAAUGCGCAAAAACGCCAGGAUCCAGAGUGCUCAUCGUGCCAUCCAUUGUGUGUCUAUGGAGGUCGAUAAACUCGCAGAACAGGUAUCAUCAUUAGGUCAAAAUUUAGAGUGGGUGAGUGUCUCCAUCAAACAGCUGUAUAUUGAGAGAAAGCAUGGCAUAAACUUCCAGAAAGGGUUUUAUGUCAUCAUCAAGUACUCAAGAAUCUCCACAUCGUCAAGUUGGUACAAUGUAGCGCCAUGGCCUUUAUGAAUAAGUCUAAGUACAAUCAAUCGAGUUGUCCAAGAAAGCUCCACUGUCCUCUCCACUCAUUACUUAUCAGUUAUGGGCGUGGUUAGAGCAUGUUGUUAUUGAUUAGUAGUAGAAAUCAGAAGAUAAAUACUGUCCUUAUCACUUUACAAGAAGUUUCUGCAAUUGAGAAAUCAAUUUCAAAUGGAACUAAGGUGCCGGAAGUUCAGAUCACGACAUUAGUUGAGAUGCUCAUGAGACAAGCAAUUAAGCUAGAUAGCAUUGCUGCAGAAGGAGAUGCUACUUCUCUGAAGA